rnacentral:tRNA from 1 species
GGGCUGUUAGCUCAGCUGGUAGAGCAGCGGACUCUUAAUCCGUAGGUCGAGUGUUCGAGUCACUCACAGCCCACCA